rnacentral:misc_RNA from 1 species
UUCGUUCUCAAUCUUGAGGCGGCAAAUCCAGAAUGGUGUAGAGUGAAAGUUACCUGCUCGCCUCCAGGGCGGUGGGGACACACGCUUUCAUGCCUGAACGGAUCAUUGCUGGUGGUGUUCGGAGGAUGCGGGAAGCAGGGACUGCUCAAUGAUGUGUUUGUGUUGGAUUUGGAUGCACAACAGCCAAGCUGGAAAGAAGUGUCAGGGGUAGCUCCUCCCCUACCGAGAUCCUGGCAUAGCUCAUGUAUAGCCGAUGGUUCAAAGCUAGUUGUGUACGGGGGAUGCACUGAUGAUGGUGUGCUUCUGAGUGACACCUUUGUACUGGAUUUCAUGAAGGAGAAGCCGGUAUGGAGGGAGAUAAUUUCUUCGUGGGUGCCUCCACCGAGAUUG